CGAGCGGUAGCACAGAGAGCUUGCUCUCGGGUGACGAGCGGCGGACGGGUGAGUAAUGUCUGGGAAACUGCCUGAUGGAGGGGGAUAACUACUGGAAACGGUAGCUAAUACCGCAUAAUGUCGCAAGACCAAAGUGGGGGACCUUCGGGCCUCAUGCCAUCAGAUGUGCCCAGAUGGGAUUAGCUAGUAGGUGGGGUAACGGCUCACCUAGGCGACGAUC
rnacentral:rRNA from 1 species